rnacentral:lncRNA from 10 species
UGCCAAGUAGCUGGGACUACAGGCGCCCGUCACCACGCCGGGCUAAUUUUUUGUAUUUUUAGUAGAGACGGAGUUUCACCAUGUUAGCCAGGAUGGUCUCGAUCUUCUGACCUCGUGAUCCGCCCGCCUCGGCCUCCAAAGUGCUGGGAUCUGAAUUCAAUUUUGCAGAUGUGAUUGCUUCCCCUUCGCCUUCUGCCAUGAUUGUAAUUUUCCUGAGGCCUUCCCAGCCAUGCUUUGUGUACACCCUGUGGAAAUGAAGCCAAAGAAAGUGAAAGGAUCCUAGCAAGUUUCCUGAACACAUCAACUUCAGGGUUAUGGCCCACCACAAGGGAUAUUCUCAAGGGUUGAGCACCAUCUUCACACCACACAACUUCCAGGAUUAUCUCCUUCCAACCACCAGAGUCACAUCCUGCAGGUUACUCAGUGACAUCAAAGCUCCUGGGAAAUGUUGAUGUGAUCCUGUUGGUGAUUGGUUUCCUCAUCAUAAUGUGCUCUCAUUUCUGCCUGAAGUUGAGACAAUUCUGAAAAGCCACCUCAGGUCCAGAGCACUCCAUAAGACAAGGUAACAGCAUUUCAGUAAAGCUCUUCCUUAU